rnacentral:rRNA from 1 species
AUUGAACGCUGGCGGAAUGCUUUACACAUGCCAGUCGAACGGCAGCACGGGGGCAGCCCUGGUGGCGAGUGGCGAACGGGUGAGUAAUACAUCGGAACGUGCCCGGUCGUGGGGGAUAACGUAGCGAAAGCUACGCUAAUACCGCAUACGAUCUGAGGAUGAAAGCGGGGGACCUUCGGGCCUCGCGCGAUCGGAGCGGCCGAUGUCAGAUUAGGUAGUUGGUGGGGUAAAGGCCUACCAAGCCGACGAUCUGUAGCUGGUCUGAGAGGACGACCAGCCACACUGGAACUGAGACACGGCCCAGACUCCUACGGGAGGCAGCAGUGGGGAAUUUUGGACAAUGGGCGCAAGCCUGAUCCAGCCAUUCCGCGUGCAGGACGAAGGCCUUCGGGUUGUAAACUGCUUUUGUACGGAACGAAAAGGCUCUGGCUAAUACCUGGGGCUCAUGACGGUACCGUAAGAAUAAGCACCGGCUAACUACGUG